GACGAACGCUGGCGGCGUGCUUAACACAUGCAAGUCGAACGAAGAGCGAUGGAAGCUUGCUUCUAUCAAUCUUAGUGGCGAACGGGUGAGUAACGCGUAAUCAACCUGCCCUUCAGAGGGGGACAACAGUUGGAAACGACUGCUAAUACCGCAUACGAUCUAAUCUCGGCAUCGAGGAUAGAUGAAAGGUGGCCUCUACAUGUAAGCUAUCACUGAAGGAGGGGAUUGCGUCUGAUUAGCUAGUUGGAGGGGUAACGGCCCACCAAGGCGAUGAUCAGUAGCCGGUCUGGGAGGAUGAACGGCCACAUUGGGACUGAGACACGGCCCAGACUCCUACGGGAGGCAGCAGUGGGGAAUCUUCCGCAAUGGACGAAAGUCUGACGGAGCAACGCCGCGUGAGUGAUGACGGCCUUCGGGUUGUAAAGCUCUGUUAAUCGGGACGAAAGGCCUUCUUGCGAACAGUUAGAAGGAUUGACGGUACCGGAAUAGAAAGCCACGGCUAACUACGUG
rnacentral:rRNA from 1 species